rnacentral:rRNA from 1 species
GAUGAACGCUAGCGGCAGGCCUAACACAUGCAAGUCGAGGGGUAGCAGGAUUAAGCUUGCUUAAUUGCUGACGACCGGCGCACGGGUGCGUAACGCGUAUGCAACCUACCUUAUACUGGGGUAUAGCCCGGAGAAAUUCGGAUUAAUCCCCCAUAGUACUAAUGAAUCGCAUGGUUUAUUAGUUAAAGCAUUGCGGUAUAAGAUGGGCAUGCGUCCUAUUAGCUAGAUGGUGAGGUAACGGCUCACCAUGGCUACGAUAGGUAGGGGGCCUGAGAGGGUGGUCCCCCACACUGGUACUGGGACACGUACCAGACUCCUACGGGAGGCAGCAGUGAGGAAUAUUGGUCAAUGGGCGCAAGCCUGAACCAGCCAUGCCGCGUGCAGGAAGAAUGCCCUAUGGGUUGUAAACUGCUUUUAUUUGGGAAUAAACCUCUUUACGUGUAGAGAGCUGAAGGUACCAAAUGAAUAAGCACCGGCUAACUCCGUGCCAGCAGCCGCAGUAA